rnacentral:snoRNA from 1 species
GUGCGUGCGUUCAACACGCGUGCCGCCAUUGUGGCUGACGCGUCUGUUAAACACGCUAAAGCAAUUCCGGAUUUCGCUAGCACCGAGUCUUGUGACCGGAGUUUGAUAGUAGACCGGAGCACAACA